GCAUGUACCUGGUAGAUGAUACCUCUGCUCUGGGACUCACAUGUAGGCCACACUGCUGCUUUUCAAUACAGUGGGUAUCAUGAACACAAGGGAGGAAUAGAUGGUAUCCAUGAUGAGAGUAUGAGGAUUUGACACAGUGCUUCUCAGGCAAUCCACUGUUGUCCCCUGGAUUCUCAUUGUAAGACCCUGAUAAUUAUGGUCUCACCUCAACCCUCUGAACCCAAUCUCAGGGUGCUGAGGCCAUUACUGUGCACUAUGUCGUGGACAUAAUUCACUUCUGUCACACAGCUUCAUUCCCAGAGGCACCAUGUCAAAUGUAACACAAAUAUGCCGUGAUGAACACAGUUUAUUUCUUAAUCAUCUUCUUUUCCAAAAUUCGAAUUCACCACCUCUGUAACGUAUUUCUCUCUUCCCCUUCUCACUCCCAAAGCCCGUGGAGAUUUUCAAGCCCAGAGGACACUGAUGUAUGCUAUCCUUUUCCUAUUGGUCACUGAACCAGCCCAACAACAACAAUAGGCCGGUGUGCACACAUAUUUCACCUAAGCUUUCCACCAAGGUUAUACCAUCACAAUCCACCCUCUUUCCAGGAAUUAACCUGGAACUCACCACCCUGUAUUAUCAGCAGGUAAUGGACUCAACCUUCAUUCCCUCUUAUGUCAAUGCCAGGGCCCUGCUGCAUGACUGCACAUGCCCUCUCCUAGGGCACAUCACUCUUUCUCCACUCCUCUCUCACAUCUGCACUCCCGCACCCACGGUUUCAUAGUCAUCUCCUUGACUUCCUACUCAUUACUCAGCAUGUGUGGUGUAGUGACUGCUUGGAAAAUUCAAACAGGAAUAAGUUCUACACCAACUCUGAGAGUCCACACUCAUGGAGGCAGCCUUGAGCCCUGUUACAAAGGCCUCCC